UGAGGAAUUUUGCGCAAUAGGGGAAACCCUGACGCAGCAACGCCGCGUGAGUGAAGAAGGCCCUCGGGUCGUAAAGCUCUGUCAAGUGGGAAAAAAGCUUACUGGUAAAUAGCCAGCAAGACUGAUGGUACCAUUGAAGGAAGCACCGGCUAACUCCGUGCCAGCAGCCGCGGUAAUACGGAGGGUGCAAGCGUUGUUCGGAAUUACUGGGCGUAAAGGGCGUGUAGGCGGUGUGGUAAGUCAGAUGUGAAAGCCCUGGGCUUAACCCAGGAAGUGCAUUUGAAACUGCCAUGCUUGAGUAUGGGAGAGGAGAGUGGAAUUCCCAGUGUAGAGGUGAAAUUCGUAGAUAUUGGGAGGAACACCCGUGGCGAAGGCGACUCUCUGGACCAAUACUGACGCUGAGGCGCGAAAGCGUGGGGAGCAAACAGG
rnacentral:rRNA from 2 species